CGCGGCCUAUCAGCUUGUUGGUGGGGUGAUGGCCUACCAAGGCUUCGACGGGUAGCCGGCCUGAGAGGGCGACCGGCCACACUGGGACUGAGACACGGCCCAGACUCCUACGGGAGGCAGCAGUGGGGAAUAUUGCGCAAUGGGCGGAAGCCUGACGCAGCGACGCCGCGUGAGGGAUGACGGCCUUCGGGUUGUAAACCUCUUUCAGCAGGGACGAAUGUAGACGGUACCUGUAGAAGAAGCACCGGCCAACUACGUGCCAGCAGCCGCGGUAAUACGUAGGGUGUGAGCGUUGUCCGGAAUUAUUGGGCGUAAAGAGCUCGUAGGCGGUCUGUCGCGUCGAAUGUGAAAACCCGGGGCUCAACUCCGGGCUUGCAUUCGAUACGGGCAGGCUAGAGCUCGGUAGGGGAGUCUGGAAUUCCUGGUGUAGCGGUGAAAUGCGCAGAUAUCAGGAGGAACACCGGUGGCGAAGGCGGGACUCUGGGCCGAUACUGACGCUGAGGAGCGAAAGCGUGGGGAGCGAACAGGAUUAGAUACCCUGGUAGUCCACGCCGUAAACGUUGGGCGCUAGGUGUGGGGGUCCUUCCACGACCUCCGUGCCGCAGCUAACGCAUUAAGCGCCCCGCCUGGGGAGUACGG
rnacentral:rRNA from 1 species